GAACGUAGGGCGCGAGCGUUGUCCGGAUUUAUUGGGCGUAAAGAGCUCGUAGGCGGCUUGUCGCGUCCGUCCGUGAAAACCUGGGGCUCAACUCCAGGCUUGCGGUCGAUACGGGCAGACUGGAGUACUGCAGGGGAGACUGGAAUUCCUGGUGUAGCGGUGAAAUGCGCAGAUAUCAGGAGGAACACCGGUGGCGAAGGCGGGUC
rnacentral:rRNA from 1 species